rnacentral:rRNA from 1 species
GACGAACGCUGGCGGCGCGCCUAAUACAUGCAAGUCGAGCGAGAACCGGGGCUUCGGCCCCGGGGAGAGCGGCGAACGGGUGCGUAUCACGUGAGCAACCUGCCUCGGAGACCGGAAUAA